CCUUUUAUUGAAGCUUCGGCAGAUUUAGAUUGUUUCUAGUGGCGGACGGGUGAGUAACGCGUGGGUAACCUGCCUUAUACAGGGGGAUAACAGUCAGAAAUGACUGCUAAUACCGCAUAAGCGCACAGAGCUGCAUGGCUCAGUGUGAAAAACUCCGGUGGUAUAAGAUGGACCCGCGUUGGAUUAGCUGGUUGGUGAGGUAACGGCCCACCAAGGCGACGAUCCAUAGCCGGCCUGAGAGGGUGAACGGCCACAUUGGGACUGAGACACGGCCCAGACUCCUACGGGAGGCAGCAGUGGGGAAUAUUGCACAAUGGGGGAAACCCUGAUGCAGGGACGCCGCGUGAAGGAAGAAGUAUCUCGGUAUGUAAACUUCUAUCAGCAGGGAAGAAAAUGACGGUACCUGACUAAGAAGCCCCGGCUAACUACGUGCCAGCAGCCGCGGUAAUACGUAGGGGGCAAGCGUUAUCCGGAUUUACUGGGUGUAAAGGGAGCGUAGACGGAUGGACAAGUCUGAUGUGAAAGGCUGGGGCUCAACCCCGGGACUGCAUUGGAAACUGCCCGUCUUGAGUGCCGGAGAGGUAAGCGGAAUUCCUAGUGUAGCGGUGAAAUGCGUAGAUAUUAGGAGGAACACCAGUGGCGAAGGCGGCUUACUGGACGGUAACUGACGUUGAGGCUCGAAAGCGUGGGGAGCAAACAGG
rnacentral:rRNA from 1 species